rnacentral:lncRNA from 12 species
UUGGGGUGAUUGCUCAAGUGACAAGUAGUAACACUGUUGGCUAACUGUUAAUGAGUGGUUAAAAAAUUAAAAUUUUAGAGGGUUGACAAAUAAAGUAAAGCAUGUCUCUGCUAAAGGCCUUAAUUUUUUUUGAUAUAAAACAGACUAAUCAAGUAUAAGUAUAUAUGGUUAACUCUUUUCUUAAUUCCCCACAAUUUAUAGACUUAAUAAACUAUAUUUUGGCUACGAGUUCAUGCUCUUCAACCAACAUGUCUUCUGGGGAAGCUAAUCGAUCAGGCAAUGAUACACAAGGACCUCCUCAGGACAGAAAUCAAUCCAAAAUUGACACCAUUGAAAAUUUGAGAAAGAAACUCCAGGCCCUUGAGAAAAAAAACUUGGAAUUAACCAGUCAACAUAGUCAAGAUGUAAGGAGGUCCAGAUUGAAGUUGUAAUAAUUUCACUUAAAGUUAUUUAACUAGUUAAGAAAUA